AGGUUUAAUCGCUCAAAUAUGAUCCAAGCAUCACUCUCUUUAAAAGCAAUCCAUCCAGUAGUUCUCUUUGGGUAGAACUACGUAUGCCUUGAGUUCUUCAUAGCACCUGGAGAUAAGCAAUCCAUCCAGUAGUUCUCUUUGGGUAGAACUACGUAUGCCUUGAGUUCUUCAUAGCACCUGGAGAUACGUAGGAGCAGGAUUGCGAAAUCUUGUCAGGCACAUUAAUAUUAAAACACCCCUAA
rnacentral:lncRNA from 1 species